rnacentral:rRNA from 1 species
UACGUAGGGGGCAAGCGUUGUCCGGAAUCAUUGGGCGUAAAGCGCGCGUAGGCGGCCCGGUAAGUCCGCUGUAAAAGUCCAGGGCUCAACCCUGGAAAGCCGGUGGAUACUGUCGGGCUCGAGUCCGGAAGAGGCGAGUGGAAUUCCUGGUGUAGCGGUGGAAUGCGCAGAUAUCAGGAGGAACACCGAUGGCGAAGGCAGCUCGCUGGGACGGUACUGACGCUGAGGAGCGAAAGCAUGGGGGAGCGAACAGG